UGUGAGGGCCAUGAAGAUGCUGGUGAGG
rnacentral:piRNA from 1 species